UACAGAGGUCCCGAGCGUUAGGCGGAAUCACUGGGCUUAAAGCGUGUGUAGGCGGAUUUGUAAGUACCUUGUGAAAUCCCACAGCUUAACUGUGGAACUGCUUGGUAUACUGCUUAUCUUGGGCCACUUAGGGGUUACCGGAACAAACGGUGGAGCGGUGAAAUGCGUAGAUAUCGUUUGGAACGCCAAUGGUGAAAACAGGUCGCUGGGGAUGAGCUGACGCUGAGACACGAAAGCCAGGGGAGCAAACGGG
rnacentral:rRNA from 1 species